CCUUGGUCGCAGGUCUAAGUGCAUUUCUAAUAUCCCGCAAUGAACCUUGAGCUGCCGCUGAGCCCGGCGACAGUCGCAGAGGUAUCUCCUAUCUCCCUCCACGGGUUCGCUCUCGUCCCGGUCCUAUCUACCUCCACGGAUUCGCUCUAGUCCCGGUGCCCAGCUUGGGGGCGGGGGGUGAACCGGGAAGCCGCGACAUUGCACCUAGCUCUGGAGCGAUACAGGUGUUGUGCCGAAAAUCUCCCCCCUGACAGAAUUCGCCCCCCUCCCUCUUCUAAUUUCCUUAAUUUUGUGACUAGAGUCAAAUACUUUAUGUGGGCCACAUCAGAGUCAAAUACUUUCUGCAACCGAAAUGAACAAACUGCAACCGAAAUGAAUUAUUAAUGUAUGUGCGUUAUUAACCAUAGAGGGAGUAAAAUGUUGGCAAGCAAUAAACAUUUCGGAACAACUAUGGCUGAAUUAUUAUCCUUACACUUUCAAAAAUACUAGUCGAAUAAGACAUGGGAGAGAUGACGAAUUUUGUCAAAGAGAUGUAUUUAUAGACUAAUACAAACAGUAGCGGAUUUAGGUACGGGCGACAUGGGCAACCGUCCAGGGCGGGCGCGGGUUCUGAAAGGGGGGUUCGCCCAGGGCGCCACAUUGAAACAAAUAGCCAAACCGAAAACUGCAGACAAAAAUGGUUUCUGCUACUAAGAUCAGUGAAACGUAGGCUAAACUGACAACGGAGUGAAGAGCAGAAAUCUCAACUAGCAAGCAAGUCGCAGCAAUGAAGAACGCGAAGGGGGGGAUUCUGGCAGGGGGGAGAUUUUCGGCACAACACCGGCCGAGGAUGGGACAACACCACCUGUCGCCUUGUCCAUCCAGAAUGUGGAUGAUCAGCAGAGAGUCUGACCCUCAUGGUACCAGGCAGUCCUACCUGGGUCAGUUGACCUCAGAGGCAAGACCUGAACUGCAGUCAGAUGCACCUCCACAGCCCCACCUGCUCCAGGAUGACAUGUCAUCUCUCCAUACCAGUGUGAAGCUCCUCAUAGGGGAAUCCCACAGUCCUGCCACCCAGCCCCUGUCUCCCCUCCCUCCCCUGGGCCUGAUGGUGUCCCUGGACCCCUGUCUGCGUCUGGAGGAGGACCAGAAACCACUGGAGUUUCAUACUCAGAUUGAACCAAAAGAAAUGGAAAGGUGGCUGGCCGAAGGGGAAGAAGAGGAAACCUCAGAGAGAGUUAACAGCACCCAGAGCUCCAACAACAGGAUGAUGCACACACACACACACACACACACACACACACACACACACACACACACACACACACACACACACACACACACACACACACACACACACACACACACACACACACACACACACACAAACCAAUUGCAUAACACAGUUUCUCUGGACGCCUUUAAGGUCGGAGUUCGCCCCCCAACGUAAAAUACAUUUAUAAAUUAACCCGACUUGCCAUGGCUAUUGAUACGGAGAUUUCUGCGCAUGUGCAUUUUUUUAAAAACGUAGCUGCUGCCCACUCUGCUACCUACGUAGCUUCUGCCCACUCUGCUACCUACGUAGCUUCUGCCCACUCUGCUACCUACGUAGCUUCUGCCCACUCUGCUACCUACGUAGCUUCUGCCCACUCUGCUACCUACGUAGCUUCUGCCCAAUCUGCUGCCUACGUAGCUUCUGCCCACUCUGCUACCUACGUAGCUUCUGCCCACUCUGCUACCUACGUAGCUUCUGCCCACUCUGCUACCUACGUAGCUUCUGCCCACUCUGCUACCUACGUAGCUUCUGCCCACUCUGCUACCUACGUAGCUUCUGCCCACUCUGCUACCUACGUAGCUUCUGCCCACUCUGCUACCUACGUAGCUUCUGCCCACUCUGCUACCUACGUAGCUUCUGCCCACUCUGCUACCUACGUAGCUUCUGCCCACUCUGCUACCUACAUAGCUUCUGCCCACUCUGCUACCUACGUAGCUUCUGCCCACUCUGCUACCUACGUAGCUUCUGCCCACUCUGCUACCUACGUAGCUUCUGCCCACUCUGCUACCUACGUAGCUUCUGCCCACUCUGCUACCUACGUAGCUUCUGCUCAGUGCUUCCACUGCUCCGCUGCCACUUCCCACUCAUUAACAUGGGGGGGAAACUUCAUGUUGUACACUAAAGAUUUGGUCGACGAUUUAGAAAUAGGCAUUCCAUACACAUGCUCGGGCUGCCGAGAACGUUCGGCUGCCCAGAGGUGGAACCACUAGGUAGCCUAUUCGCGUGGUACUUGCAUGAUCAUUGAGAAGCAAAAUAGCAGUUAGGUCCUGUGUGUGGUUAAAAUGCCGAUAAUUUUUUUGAAGUGGGGAGUUGCAUUAUUUAGGAUGGCACCUUUCCAACAAGUCAGUUUGUAAAAUGUCUUCCCUACAAUGGCUCAGCCUGAAGUGGAAGGCCACACAAGCUCACAGAAUGGGGCCGAUGAGUGCAGAAGUGCGUAGCGCGUAAAAAUCGUCUGUCCUCGGUGGCAACACUCAUUACCGAGUUC